UACAGAGGGGGCGAGCGUUGUCCGGAAUUACUGGGCGUAAAGAGCUCGUAGGUGGUUUGUCGCGUUGUUCGUGAAAACUCACAACUCAAUUGUGGGCGUGCGGGCGAUACGGGCAGACUGGAGUACUGCAGGGGAGACUGGAAUUCCUGGUGUAGCGGUGGAAUGCGCAGAUAUCAGGAGGAACACCGGUGGCGAAGGCGGGUCUCUGGGCAGUAACUGACGCUGAGGAGCGAAAGCGUGGGGAGCGAACAGG
rnacentral:rRNA from 1 species